rnacentral:rRNA from 1 species
CAAACUUGAGAGUUUGAUCCUGGCUCAGAACGAACGCUGGCGGCAUGCCUCAUACAUGCAAGUCGAACGAAGCCUUCGGGCUUAGUGGCGAACGGGUGCGUAACGCGUGGGAACCUGCCCUUAGGUUCGGAAUAACAGUUAGAAAUGACUGCUAAUGCCGGAUAAUGUCUUCGGACCAAAGAUUUAUCGCCUUUGGAUGGGCCCGCGUAGGAUUAGCUAGUUGGUGUGGUAAUGGCGCACCAAGGCGACGAUCCUUAGCUGGUCUGAGAGGAUGAUCAGCCACACUGGGACUGAGACACGGCCCAGACUCCUACGGGAGGCAGCAGUAGG